GCUCCGGUAGUUUAAUUGGUCAAAACGUGCGACUUAUAAUCGCUUGUUGGGGGAUCGUGGCCCUCUCGGAGCA
rnacentral:tRNA from 1 species